CGGAGCCUAGAUUUGCAUCCCAGAUCUGGGUGCCUGUUAGAGAAAGUCUUGUCCAAGUUUCAAGGAUGGGCUUUGAGGCUACAAGAGCAUCACUUAGCAUGUUCUUUCCCAUCUCUCUUGGUCAGAGUAAUUGUGGGAAGAAGGGAGUGAGACUGGAGAUUUGGUAUCCGUAUGCCAGACUCCUCAGAUCCUGAUAAGGCAGGUUUUCCCACCCCUAGCAAAAGUACCGGCGUGUCAAAAAAAUGUCAGAUGACGAGGACGAUGACGAGGAGGAAUAUGGCAAGGAGGAACAUGAAAAAGAAGCGAUUGCGGAAGAAAUCUUCCAGGAUGGGGAAGGGGAAGAAGGGCAGGAGGCCAUGGAGGCCCCCAUGGCUCCUCCGGAGGAGGAGGAAGAAGAUGAUGAGGAGUCAGAUAUUGACGACUUCAUUGUGGAUGAUGAUGGA
rnacentral:sRNA from 1 species